rnacentral:rRNA from 1 species
ACUCCUACGGGAGGCAGCAGUGGGGAAUAUUGGGCAAUGGGGGAAACCCUGACCCAGCAACGCCGCGUGAAGGAAGAAGGUCUUCGGAUUGUAAACUUCUUUGAUCAGGGACGAAGAAAUGACUGUACCUGAAGAACAAGUCACGGCUAACUACGUGCCAGCAGCCGCGGUAAUAA